rnacentral:lncRNA from 1 species
AUGUCCUCCUUUUCUGUUUCAGAUCCUGCUUCUCAGUCAAAUAAUGGUGGAGUAUGCAACUUUUGUGACCCUUCCACUGGUCAGUGCUCCUCCACAUUACAGUGUCAGGGAGUGGAGAACCAAUGCUUCCAAUCAACCAUCAAAAGCAGCACCAGCACGUAUGUAGCUCAGGGCUGCGCAUCUGCAAACCUGUGUGCAGCUGCUUCAAGCCUGGAAUCUCUACCUUUCAUGCCGAGCGUUGGUACCAUAUCAAGUGUUACCUGUUCUGCAGCACCAACUACAACUGCUGCCCCAACUACAACCAUCCCCCCAACUACAACUGCAACCACCACCCCAACUACAACUGCAACCACCACCCCAACUACAACUGCAACCACUGCCUCUACAACCAAAAGUGACGCUUGUUCUAUCAGACUGGGAAUGAUCCAUCUGCUGCUUGGACUCCUUCUCUUUACCUUUCAUUAAAGUCCCGAAUAACACAAAAACAAACAAAAGAACAUAUGAUGCUUUAACAAGACUCAAAAACCUUUUGGAUAUUAACCUUGUGUUUACAAACCACUGUUAAAGUGAAGUCCAUGAAAAAAGGCGAGAGUCUUGUUGAAGCUGACUUGGAAUAAGUAUGUAAGACUUCUUUGUUUGUUGUCAUGAUGGACAAUUAUGUCCAUUAUGUCCAAAAUAAAUGACAUUAUUCAUUACAUUUAUUUGACAUAUAUACAUGUAUAUUCCUCCAUGUAUGCAAAUGUAUGCAAUUCAUUUAAUACUAAAUGGGUGACACAACUGAAUCCUUAUAGCAAUAACAAAGCAUUGCUUUGUGCUUUUUAUUUUCUGCAUGUCUCUCUUUCUAAUCUGAUCUAUAUUACUAGUGAUCAAUGGUGGAUCUGCAAGGGUGGAUCUACAAGGGUGGCAUGUGCCCACCUAAAAAUAGUCUCUUGCCAUCCCUAGUGGCACCCAAGUUUUGCAGUGUUGUUUAUUAAAAUAAGCCAGCAUUAACCCUUUGAGCCUAGCUACAGUUACAGUUAACAAUGACAGAGUGGGCAAUACAGUAAGUUUGCACCUCCUUUUGUCAGACCUGCAGGGUUUAAGCUUGUGGUGUUCUCCUCUGUCUUAUGGCAGACAAACUAUUUUUUUGCACUGGCACAAAUAAUUUGUGGCAUCUUACUGUGACACCUGAUUGUUGUCUAAUUUUUGUUUUAGUAGUUUUAAAUGGCAAAAAACUCCAGUUACAUUGGCUGCAUUUUUAGGUAAAGAGUUGUAUAGAACUUUAUUGUUUACAAAAUUUGGGUGUAGGUCUUUAGAAUUUAGGAAAUUUCUGUAGUUCUGCCCCUGCUGAUGAUAAAGAUACAAUAAAG